rnacentral:rRNA from 1 species
AACGAACGCUGGCGGCAGGCCUAACACAUGCAAGUCGAGCGCCCUUUCGGGGGCGCGGCGGACGGGUGAGUACCGCGUGGGAAUAUGCCCUUCUCUACGGAAUAGCCUCGGGAAACUGAGAGUAAUACCGUAUACGCCCUUUGGGGGAAAGAUUUAUCGGGGAAGGAUUAGCCCGCGUUGGAUUAGGUAGUUGGUGGGGUAAUGGCCUACCAAGCCGACGAUCCAUAGCUGGUUUGAGAGGAUGAUCAGCCACACUGGGACUGAGACACGGCCCAGACUCCUACGGGAGGCAGCAGUGGGGAAUCUUAGACAAUGGGGGCAACCCUGAUCUAGCCAUGCCGCGUGAGUGAUGAAGGCCUUAGGGUUGUAAAGCUCUUUCAGCUGGGAAGAUAAUGACGGUACCAGCAGAAGAAGCCCCGGCUAACUCCGUG